ACAAAUAUAAUAUGUUAGAGCCAGUCCACACGGCGCGUUGUGUUACGUUGCGUCGUCUCAACGCAAACAUUUUGACGCAUAGUCAGCCA